rnacentral:ncRNA from 17 species
UACCUGGUUGAUCCUGCCAGUAGUCAUAUGCUUGUCU